GCGGCCCGGAGGCGAUCUGUGCGCGAGGAGGCGCUGUGGAGACUGAGGCACAGCCCCUCCGAGGAAAGCCGAGAUUGGACGUUUCCUUGCCGGCUGAGCCGCGGCUCGUCCCCCGCGACACAUAGAAGAAGUGGCCUUGCAUCCUGCUCCGCCUCCCGAGCCGGGUCCUUGGUUCCCGGAAGCCCUGAGCUGCCCCGCUGGAGUUACCUUCUGUGCGUUCUCUCCUAAACCUACACGUUAUUCACGACUUUGUUCAUGACUAUAGAAAACAAAACAAAAACAAAAACCAAACCAAAGUUCCCUCGCCUGGCGAUGGUGCAAGCCUGUCUACCUGCUGGAGGAUGGUUGGAAUGUGCACACCUGGCUCGACCAAAAGAGGCACAGCUUAGGGGCGGCUUGGACCCAGCUCAAGUCUGGACUUGGCAGCUUUCCUGAGCCUGCCUAGGAAAGCAGGCUGGAGUGCAGGUGUCCCAGGGCUCUCUGGAGGAGCAGCAGCAACACCAUGCCUGGCUCUGGUGCCUUGGUCUCCUCGGAGAGGAUGCUUGAAGGAAUGGCACUCAGCAGAGUACAGGCCCCGUAACAGUGCAGCGCAGCGACAUCAGCUGAGGACUGGACAGAAUGGUCCUGAUGCUUGGCAGUGAUCCGUACUUGGAUAACCCUCUGCAUGAAAGGGCAGUGAGCCAGGAACCUCAAGCCACCCGGGAGCAGGUGCCUACUUGGCGUUUUCUGAGACGAGAGGCAGCGGAGUGUGUAGUAAAGGUGGCGCUGGCUCUUGCUGCUUCUGAAGCUCCAUCUCGGCAGCCCUCUGCAGUGCCACCUCCACCAGCAACUGGAAGCUGCUGAAGUCAUCCUUGUCCUGCUCUGGGGGUGUGGGUGGUGGCGUAUUGAAGAGUCCACCCGUGGGGCUUCCAGCCUCUGCCCUAGUCAGCAGGGGUCACUGUAAAGCUCUGGCUGUUCUGGAAUUCACUAUGUAGACCAAGGUGGCCUCAAAUGCUUCUACUUCCUGAUUACCAGGAUUAAAGCCACCAUGCUUGGGCUGGAGAGAUGGCUCACUGAUGUAAGAGCACUGAUUGCUCUUCCAGAGGUCCUGAGUUCAAAUCCCAGCAACCACGUGGUGGCUCACAACCAUCUAUAAAAAGGAUCUGAUGCCCUCUUCUGGUGUCUGAAGACAGCUACAGUGUACUCAUAUAAAU
rnacentral:lncRNA from 1 species